AAGAAGGAUCAAGAGACACAGAAACUGCUAACUAUUUGUUACCGAAGUUAAAUUCUUCGGCCAUCUUA
rnacentral:tRNA from 1 species